CAGCCGCCACGGUAAUACAAAGGAUGCAAGCAUUAUCCGGAAUGAUUGGGCGUAAAGCGUCUGUAGGUGGCUUUUCAAGUCCGCCGUCAAAUCCCAGGGCUCAACCCUGGACAGGCGGUGGAAACUACCAAGCUAGAGUACGGUAGGGGCAGAGGGAAUUUCCGGUGGAGCGGUGAAAUGCAUUGAGAUCGGAAAGAACACCAACGGCGAAAGCACUCUGCUGGGCCGACACUGACACUGAGAGACGAAAGCUAGGGGAGCAAAUGGGAUUAGAUACCCGCGUAGUCCCUGUCUCUUAUAC
rnacentral:rRNA from 1 species